rnacentral:lncRNA from 1 species
CUGAAAUUUACAGUGUAUUUUCCUUUUAAAAAACUAUUCUACUAUUCUACUUCCGUUGUAAAAUAAAAAUAAUAAAAAAUUUGGUAAAUACAAUCUUCAAUCAUCACCUAAACAUUUUUGCUUAAAUUUUUUUUUUAAACUAUGCCUUCCCAAACUUCGUACCAGGGCCUGGGUACGAGGUUGCCCUCUCCCUUCGAGAUAUUCACCCAAAGCCUUGGUUGGCCGUAAUGGGGUAUUUUAU